rnacentral:piRNA from 1 species
UGGUUAGGCUAAACUGGUGCAUACUGGC